rnacentral:rRNA from 1 species
AUUGAACGCUGGCGGCAUGCUUUACACAUGCAAGUCGAACGGUAACAGGUUAAGCUGACGAGUGGCGAACGGGUGAGUAAUGCAUCGGAACGUGCCCGAUCGUGGGGGAUAACGCAGCGAAAGCUGCGCUAAUACCGCAUACGAUCUGAGGAUGAAAGCGGGGGACCGUAAGGCCUCGCGCGAUCGGAGCGGCCGAUGUCAGAUUAGGUAGUUGGUGGGGUAAAGGCUCACCAAGCCAACGAUCUGUAGCUGGUCUGAGAGGACGACCAGCAACACAGGGACUGGGAGAAGGCCCAGACUCCUACAGGAAGCAGCAGUGGGGAAUUUUGGGGAAUGGGCGAAAGCCUGAGCCAGCAAUGCCGCGUGCAGGAAGAAGGCCUUCGGGUUGUAAACUGCUUUUGUACGGAGCGAAAAGGCUCUCUCUAAUACAGGGGGCGCAUGACGGUACCGGAAGAAUAAGCACCGGCUAACUACGUGCCAGCCGCCGCCGUAA